UGCUACGUUAAACAAUAGAGGUGAUAAA
rnacentral:piRNA from 1 species